GACUGCCUUCAGUGCCCAUCAGCCGAUUGAAACAUUCCUGAUGCAGAGGAACAAGGAUCUGUGCCUGCCUUUUGUCCUUGCCCUCUCCAGGAAUUGCAAGCUGCAGACACCAGUAGGAGCAAGCAGGGAAUUACUUAGGUGUGCUGCGGAUUCUCCGUCGCUUGAAGACUUUAACCCCAGGAGUUUUCCGCAAAGAUCUGCUACGGCUCACUCAGGGCUUCUAAGCUUGGUGUGGAAAGGAAUAUUCUCAAGGAAGGCUCGCAGUGGAGGUGAAAUGGCAGAUCAACACUGAAGCAACAAGCUGAAGCUGCAGGGAAUGGCUCAGGGGGAAAAUCAAAGGGAAGAUGUCUUUGUUACCAACCCAGCUGCAACUUCCUUCUCUGGCUAGAAAAUACCCUAGGAGGUGACUUGUCAGUGGAUCGCAUGCCUUUGCCUUGCCUUGCUUCCCCAUAAUAAGUGAAUAAUGAACUUGUGGGGCAAGGGAGAGGUGGAAUUCCCAGAAAUUAUCAUCCCGAGGUCAUGCUCUGAUACCAGACCGGCCGGAGCAGCUGGUGGUUUGAAACCUGGAACUUCCCUCGUGACGGCAGAUUCCCCUGGGGCCCACGUAUUUAUUAGUAUCAUUUGCUGCUAUAAAAUCAGCAAUCUCUCUGCAUGUUCGCUGCAUGUAGUAGUUUCCCUUUGUUAGUGAUUAUUACUCCCUGAUGCCUGUGUCUCUGAGACAAAGUCUUCCUCCCUGCUCCAGACAGGCACAAAUGCCAGCGGGGAAGAGAAGCAAGCUUCGUCCUCGGACAGAAGGGCAGAAGAACGAUGACUGCAACAAGUCCAGCCGCACCCCACUUCUUGUCCUUCCUUUCUGCAAGUCAGAAUGAGCCCAGCAAGAGAGACAAGCCGUCUGCCAAGAGCCCCUGGAAGGACUUCGCUUCUCGCCACAAACAGCAUGAUGUGAACAGUUUGGUGUGCAUGGAGGGACUGGAGGCAUUAGGAGGGGAAAAGCAGCUUGUGCUGCUUGGGACAGAGCAAAGUGGCUUGAUAGUCAACCCUAAACAUCUGUGUACGUGUCCACAGAGGUGCUGACAGCCACGGGAGGGCCUGGCUCCUUUGAGAACAUCCAUCAGCCCUUCUCUAUGCUUUGGGCCAAGGCAGAGUACUCCGGAGGAUCUUCUGUUGCUCACAGGAGGAUAUAGGCAGGACUGUGUCUGAUUUCCAGCCUUUUUAGCCCUCUGUGGCCUCAGGAAUGCACGCUGGACUCUGCCGUUGUCUCGAUGGGGAGUUUACAAACUGUGAUAUACUCAGUUUUUACGGUGCAGAGACCUGUGUCUGUACCCAGAAUGGGCCCUUUUCUGUGCUAAUCAGACACGAUAGGUGUGGUACCCAUGGGCUUCCCCAUUCAGUCUGAACCCCAAACGAUGCCUCUGCCUGGAUCCCUUACCCAAAAGGCACAUUUCAUUUAUCUCACGUGUCUGUUUUGGGCUCACAGCACUGCAAGGGAAAAAGCAGAAAUAAAAUGGUUUCUUUGCUCUUCAGUUCCCAUAACGUACUUCCCUUCAUGACUGAUCCUGCACAGGGCUUGCGCCUGGUCCAUGCUGCAUGCGCGGGUCCCGUCCAUGGUCACCAGGACUAAAAUUCAUCGUGUGCAACUGUCAGCCCUCCCUUAGAAAACACAUGGCCCCGCUGAGCACUGGCAGCGGCUGGCAUCAUCCCUUUGCCAUGCAAAUGCCUGGUCUCUCCUUUCGGGAAACCCCACAGGGUCUUUUCAAGAAUGGGUGGGUUGCUCCGGUGGGAGGUGGUGGUGGAGAGAUGCUCCAAACCAAAGCCAUCCCCACGCAGAGGGACCGCCAGCUCAAUGCGGGGCAGCCGUGGCACGGCACGGGGAUGGACCUGCCUGCUCGGGGUGGAGACAGCCCCUUGGAGCGGCACAUCACCAUCAAAGGCGCUUCAAGUUGGUUUUCCCCUUGCUCUGCCGAAUACCCACCUCCGGCUCCAGACAGAGCCGUCUCUGGGGUUACAUCUAACACAAAUUCCUCCCUGACCUCGAAAUAUUCGGAGUACUUGAAAGCUUUCCUAUCCCAACAGACUAGUUUUAGCACCUUGAAGCCUUUGCUGGCGAGUCCCAGCAACAGGUGUAACACGAAGAAAACCCAAACCCAGAAGCCAACAUACCGUGCUGCUCCCUCGGAGACUGAAGGAAUGGGAGGAAAGUUGUGUGCAGUAGCGGAGAUGAAAGAUGCUGCAAUGACUUUUUGCUGACAUGUACAAAUGUGAUCCUGACUAUUAACUUUAAUGACCUGCCAUUAUGCGAGGGAAAAAGAGGGAGGGAUCUAAUUUUUUGUAAUUACUUUAAUUGCCACCCUGUGGUCUUGUUUCGUGCUGCUGGUUUUGCAGUCAGGUGGGAAAAAAAAACAAUCCUCCCCCCCGACUCCCCGGUAUCUCAGAUUUGGGUUGUCUCCUAUCCCAGUUGUGCAAAAUCAAAUCAUCUAGGGAACUGAGAAAAUGCUUCUGCAGAUUUAAAUGCUAAAUGAGAGCUCAGUUUUUUAAUAUGGCUUUGAAAUGGUGGAACUGCAGCUACA